AUUGAACGCUGGCGGCAGGCCUAACACAUGCAAGUCGAGCGGAUGAAGGGAGCUUGCUCCUGGAUUCAGCGGCGGACGGGUGCGUAAUGCCUAGGAAUCUGCCUGGUAGUGGGGGACAACGUUUCGAAAGGAACGCUAAUACCGCAUACGUCCUACGAGAGAAAGCAGGGGACCUUCGGGCCUUGCUCUAUCAGAUGAGCCUAGGUCGGAUUAGCUAGUUGGACAGGUAAUGGCUCACCAAGGCGACGAUCCGUAACUGGUCUGAGAGGAUGAUCAGUCACACUGGAACUGAGACACGGUCCAGACUCCUACGGGAGGCAGCAGUGGGGAAUAUUGGACAAUGGGCGAAAGCCUGAUCCAGCCAUGCCGCGUGUGUGAAGAAGGUCUUCGGAUUGUAAAGCACUUUAAGUUGGGAGGAAGGGUUGUAGAUUAAUACUCUGCAAUUUUGACGUUACCGACAGAAUAAGCACCGGCUAACUCUGUGCCAGCCGCCGCGGUAAUAC
rnacentral:rRNA from 1 species